rnacentral:rRNA from 1 species
UACAGAGGUCUCAAGCGUUGUUCGGAUUUAUUGGGCGUAAAGGGUGCGCAGGCUGUAUGGUAAGUUUGGUGUGAAAUCCUGGAGCUCAACUCCAGAAUUGCACUGAAUACUGCCGUGCUAGAGGACUGGAGAGGAGAUUGGAAUUCACGGUGUAGCAGUGAAAUGCGUAGAUAUCGUGAGGAAGACCAGUGGCGAAGGCGAAUCUCUGGACAGUUCCUGACGCUCAUGCACGAAGGCCAGGGGGAGCAAACGGG